CUUACACUCCAAAACUGUGUGUCGUCUUGUUAUUGGAGGGAAAGAAGAUUUGUUCCUGUGUCUGCUGUUCCAGCUUGCAGGAAAUUCAACGGGGAAAGUCCUUGUAAGGACUAGAGCUAAUUCCCCAUUUGGCUCCAGGGAAGGAGCGGUUCCAGGGACCCAGUCCAGCCACAGUGACUGUGGGCAGAAGUGCUGCGGUUUGUCCC